UUUAAAGACAUUUUCUGGAAUUUGCACACGUGCUACUUUGCCUUACAGUUCAUUGGCUAAAGCUUAGUCACAUGGCUAGACCUAGCCACAAAGGAGACUGGGAAAUGCAGUCUUUAUUCUAGGGAACCAUUUAAAAAUCAGAGCUUCUGUUACCAAGGGAGUAAAGAAUGGAUAUUGGGCUAAACAAUGAGCAAUUUCUGCUAUGGAUAUUAAAUAAUUUGCCCAGCGUUUUCCAGUUGAACUCUGUCUACAGAAGAUGUUGGUGACACCAGAGGGGAGAGGAGAGUCUUUGAAGCACAAAAUUUUUCAAUUUUGAUGAAAUCCAACCUAUAUUUUGCCUUUGGUCACCUGCGCUUUUGGUGGCACAGGUUUUAUAUAUUUAUUCAUGAGAGAGAGAGACAGAGAGAGAGGCAGAGACA